rnacentral:tRNA from 1 species
GGAGUUAUGACUCAGUGGUAGAGCGCUUGCCUUGAAUGUAUGAAGCCCUGUGUUCGGUCCUCAGUACCA